UAGCUAAACAUUACCUAAGGUGAUUGCAACAUGUAGAAGCGAGAGACAGUAGCACUAACAUCUCUGCUUUGAUACCGGGUGGCUGCUACUGGAGGCGUUAUCUGUUGUAGGUGUUGCAGAUAAAGUAGGAAAUCGAGAGAAUAAAAAUAGAAAAGAAGAACAAGGAAAGAUAGAGAUGAUACCGGAGGUCUUACUGUCUCCAAGACUGUAAUGUCCUCCUGCCAACGUCCUUCAGGUGUUUUUGAGAAUUUUAAGACGAAGAGAAUAUGCUGUUUCCGUGAACACCGUGUCUGCUGAAAAAAAAAAAAGAGAAAAAAUGGAAGAGUUUAACCUGCCACCGCUUCAUCGACCAGAAUGCUCACAACACAGUCGAUUCCGCAAAAGCAUUUACGAGUCAAUGGUAACAGAAAUCCGGACAAUGUUUUUAUUGUCUUACACGCCCACCAUUUCUUUCGUUGCUUUUUUCUUUAAUUGCUUAAUUUAUUCGGGAAGAGGCAUGGUCUAGAGUUUAGUGUGUUGCAUUCACGAUUACAAAAUCGCAGUUUCGAUCCCCAGAAUGGCUGUGCCUGGAGUUUCGCCUAUUUUUUCUUCUCUUUGUUGCAUUUCCUGUUUAUGUUCUUCAUUUCUCGUUGCUGCAGUUCACCUUGCGACGGACGGGCGUUCUUUCAGAAAAUAUUCUGCCGGCCGUCCUAGCCACAAGGCAUCAUUCGAAAGCUAGUACAAUACCAAGAAGUGCAAAGUGACAAGUAGUGUAUAACAGCAUCUGAAAUCUGGUCAAUACGCUCAUUUAACUUUACCUUAAUUGUUCUCAUCAGCUGUGCCACAAACACGUUUUUGCUAAAUACCUAGCAACACAUUUUGGGCGGAAGUAAUUUGUGGCGUUUGAGGAAUCUGUGCAUUUUGCACUUAUCUUUGUA
rnacentral:lncRNA from 1 species